ACUGUGUGCUCAAUUCCCAGAAGUAAGGAGGGCACUGCGCAUGCGGGAAGCCCACCCUAAGGGAGGAAUUAUGGGAAAGAGGCAAGCCUGUAAAGCCCGAGGAUCAAGGUUAAACGCUCUCUUUUUGACCUUCAGGCACCCUCUUGGGUCUUUUACAAGUGAACUUUCUUUCCUGUUUUAAAGCCUUUUAAAUAAACUUCCACUCCUGUGCUGAAACUUGCCUUAGUCUUUUUUUCUGCUUUAUGCCCCUCAGUCGAAUUCUUUCAUCUGAGGAGGCAAGAAUUGAAGUUGCUGCAGACGCCUGUGGAUUCACCACAAGUACAUUGGAGUAACCACUGGGAACAACAGGUUGCCUUAGAAGCUUUGCAGGUUGUUUUGUUUUUUUGUUUGUUUGUUUUUUUGAGACGGGGUCUCACUUUGUCGCCCAGGUUUGUUGCCCAGGCUGGAGUGCAGUGGCGCAAUCUCGGCUCUCCGCAACCUCUGCCUCCCGGGCUCAAGUGAUCCUCCCACCUCGGCUUCCCGAGUACCUGGGACUACAGGCAUGCACCACCACACCCGGCUAAUUUUAAUUUUUAUUUUGUAUUUUUAGUAGAGUUGGGGUUUCACCAUGUUCCCAGCUGGUCUUGAACUCUUGAGGUGAAGCAAUCCGCCCACCUCAGCCUCCCAAAGUGCUGAGAUUACAGACGUGAGCCAUCGCGCCUAGCCUUGCAAGUUGUUUUUUGUUGAACAGAAGAAGCUAUUCAAAAAUGUCCAGGACUCUGUUAUUUAUUCAGCAAGCUUACAAAGCCAUCUUUGAUUGACUGAUUCUUUGACAAUGACUAUCUGGAUGACACAGGA
rnacentral:lncRNA from 10 species